AGCGUACACGGUGGAUGCCCUGGCAGUCAGAGGCGAUGAAGGACGUGCUAAUCUGCGAUAAGCGUCGGUAAGGUGAUAUGAACCGUUAUAACCGGCGAUUUCCGAAUGGGGAAACCCAGUGUGNCACACUAUCAUUAACUGAAUCCAUAGGUUAAUGAGGCGAACCGGGGGAACUGAAACAUCUAAGUACCCCGAGGAAAAGAAAUCAACCGAGAUUCCCCCAGUAGCGGCGAGCGAACGGGGAGCAGCCCAGAGCCUGAAUCAGUGUGUGUGUUAGUGGAAGCGUCUGGAAAGGCGCGCGAUACAGGGUGACAGCCCCGUACACAAAAAUGCACAUGCUGUGAGCUCGAUGAGUAGGGCGGGACACGUGGUAUCCUGUCUGAAUAUGGGGGGACCAUCCUCCAAGGCUAAAUACUCCUGACUGACCGAUAGUGAACCAGUACNGUGACUGCGUACCUUUUGUAUAAUGGGUCAGCGACUUAUAUUCUGUAGCAAGGUUAACCGAAUAGGGGAGCCGAAGGGAAACCGAGUCUUAACUGGGCGUUAAGUUGCAGGGUAUAGACCCGAAACCCGGUGAUCUAGCCAUGGGCAGGUUGAAGGUUGGGUAACACUAACUGGAGGACCGAACCGACUAAUGUUGAAAAAUUAGCGGAUGACUUGUGGCUGGGGGUGAAAGGCCAAUCAAACCGGGAGAUAGCUGGUUCUCCCCGAAAGCUAUUUAGGUAGCGCCUCGUGAAUUCAUCUCCGGGGGUAGAGCACUGUUUCGGCAAGGGGGUCAUCCCGACUUACCAACCCGAUGCAAACUGCGAAUACCGGAGAAUGUUAUCACGGGAGACACACGGCGGGUGCUAACGUCCGUCGUGAAGAGGGAAACAACCCAGACCGCCAGCUAAGGUCCCAAAGUCAUGGUUAAGUGGGAAACGAUGUGGGAAGGCCCAGACAGCCAGGAUGUUGGCUUAGAAGCAGCCAUCAUUUAAAGAAAGCGUAAUAGCUCACUGGUCGAGUCGGCCUGCGCGGAAGAUGUAACGGGGCUAAACCAUGCACCGAAGCUGCGGCAGCGACACUGUGUGUUGUUGGGUAGGGGAGCGUUCUGUAAGCCUGUGAAGGUGUNCAAGGGUUCCUGUCCAACGUUAAUCGGGGCAGGGUGAGUCGACCCCUAAGGCGAGGCCGAAAGGCGUAGUCGAUGGGAAACAGGUUAAUAUUCCUGUACUUGGUGUUACUGCGAAGGGGGGACGGAGAAGGCUAUGUUGGCCGGGCGACGGUUGUCCCGGUUUAAGCGUGUAGGCUGGUUUUCCAGGCAAAUCCGGAAAAUCAAGGCUGAGGCGUGAUGACGAGGCACUACGGUGCUGAAGCAACAAAUGCCCUGCUUCCAGGAAAAGCCUCUAAGCAUCAGGUAACAUCAAAUCGUACCCCAAACCGACACAGGUGGUCAGGUAGAGAAUACCAAGGCGCUUGAGAGAACUCGGGUGAAGGAACUAGGCAAAAUGGUGCCGUAACUUCGGGAGAAGGCACGCUGAUAUGUAGGUGAAGUCCCUCGCGGAUGGAGCUGAAAUCAGUCGAAGAUACCAGCUGGCUGCAACUGUUUAUUAAAAACACAGCACUGUGCAAACACGAAAGUGGACGUAUACGGUGUGACGCCUGCCCGGUGCCGGAAGGUUAAUUGAUGGGGUCAGCGCAAGCGAAGCUCUUGAUCGAAGCCCCGGUAAACGGCGGCCGUAACUAUAACGGUCCUAAGGUAGCGAAAUUCCUUGUCGGGUAAGUUCCGACCUGCACGAAUGGCGUAAUGAUGGCCAGGCUGUCUCCACCCGAGACUCAGUGAAAUUGAACUCGCUGUGAAGAUGCAGUGUACCCGCGGCAAGACGGAAAGACCCCGUGAACCUUUACUAUAGCUUGACACUGAACAUUGAGCCUUGAUGUGUAGGAUAGGUGGGAGGCUUUGAAGUGUGGACGCCAGUCUGCAUGGAGCCGACCUUGAAAUACCACCCUUUAAUGUUUGAUGUUCUAACGUGGACCCGUGAUCCGGGUUGCGGACAGUGUCUGGUGGGUAGUUUGACUGGGGCGGUCUCCUCCUAAAGAGUAACGGAGGAGCACGAAGGUUGGCUAAUCUUGGUCGGACAUCAGGAGGUUAGUGCAAUGGCAUAAGCCAGCUUGACUGCGAGCGUGACGGCGCGAGCAGGUGCGAAAGCAGGUCAUAGUGAUCCGGUGGUUCUGAAUGGAAGGGCCAUCGCUCAACGGAUAAAAGGUACUCCGGGGAUAACAGGCUGAUACCGCCCAAGAGUUCAUAUCGACGGCGGUGUUUGGCACCUCGAUGUCGGCUCAUCACAUCCUGGGGCUGAAGUAGGUCCCAAGGGUAUGGCUGUUCGCCAUUUAAAGUGGUACGCGAGCUGGGUUUAGAACGUCGUGAGACAGUUCGGUCCCUAUCUGCCGUGGGCGCUGGAGAACUGAGGGGGGCUGCUCCUAGUACGAGAGGACCGGAGUGGACGCAUCACUGGUGUUCGGGUUGUCAUGCCAAUGGCACUGCCCGGUAGCUAAAUGCGGAAGAGAUAAGUGCUGAAAGCAUCUAAGCACGAAACUUGCCCCGAGAUGAGUUCU
rnacentral:rRNA from 1 species